rnacentral:tRNA from 1 species
CUGGGUGGUCGCGCGCGGCCGGGCGCUGGCCGGACCGGACGGCCGCGCCGAGCGCGUGCUCGGGGCGGCGUUCGACAACACCGCCGUGCAGG